rnacentral:rRNA from 1 species
AUGCGGGACUGCGUGUCAACUGGUGUCAGCAAGCAUGAAGGAAUCAAAAACCUGAAUAAACUGCAAGAGAUUCUUGAUGAGGAUUUGAAGUCGAAGCGCCUGCUGCUUGUUUUGGACGAUGUGUGGGAAGACAAUGAUAAAAGCCGAUGGGACAAGCUAUUAGCACCUCUAAGAAGUUCAAUGAAUGGCAAUGUGAUCUUGGUCACAACUAGCAAUCACUCUAUGGUAAAAAUGAUUUCUACUGUGGACCCUAUUCAUUUAGAUGGCUUGAAAGAUGAGGACUUUUGGCUUAUGUUCAAGUCAUGUGCAUUUGGUGAUGAGAAAUAUGAAGGACUUCCAUGUUUACAGGUUAUUGGGCAGCGGAUAGCUAACAAGUUGAAGGGUUACCCCUUAGCUGCAAAGGGUGUUGGUGCACUGUUGAAAAGAGACCUUGAUGGUGGGCUCUGGAUGUCAGUUUUGCAAAGUGAUGAAUGGAAGCUACAACAAGGGCCGGAUGAUAUCAUUCCAGCAUUGAAGCUCAGUUACAUACACCUGCCUUUCCAUCUCCACAGGUGUUUAUCUUAUUGUUCGCUCUUUCCUAAGGGCAACAGGUUUGAUGGAUUGGACUUGGUUCGCAUUUGGAUAUCACCGGGUUUUGUUUCUUCUAGAUGUAAACGAAUGGAGGAGACUGGGUAUCAAUACUUGAUUUUGUGGACCGAGGGUUUUUCCAGAGAAGUACAUACUAUUAUAUGCAUGAUCUGA